rnacentral:rRNA from 1 species
GACUAACGCUGGCGGCGUGCCUAACACAUGCAAGUCGAACGGAUAGUAGCAAUACUAUUAGUGGCAGACGGGUGAGUAACGCGUAGAUAAUGUGCCCUUUCGCUGGGGAUAGCCACUGGAAACGGUGGGUAAUACCGAAUACUCUUUUCAGGUGGCAUCAUUUGAAAAGGAAAACUCCGGUGCGAAUUGAGCAGUUUGCGUCCUAUUAGCUAGUUGGUGGGGUAAUGGCCUACCAAGGCGACGAUGGGUAGCCGGUCUGAGAGGAUGAUCGGCCACA